AAAAAAAAAAAAAAGUAGAUGUACUCUCCUUUGGAACGAUCAAAAUUUUGGGGAAAAGAAGAUAUUUACUUCUUUCGACUGCAACGUGAACAACAGGACAUCCAAUCAAAGAUUCAUGCUGUUGAUGGUGGCUUUUAUUGCGAAAGAUGUUUAGAAUCAAAAAAAUCAUAUAUUACAAUAAUCACUUAUUUAUAAGCCG
rnacentral:lncRNA from 1 species